CCCGCUGAACUUAAGCAUAUCAAUAAGCGGAGGAAAAGAAACUAACAAGGAUUCCCCUAGUAACUGCGAGUGAAGCGGGAAAAGCUCAAAUUUAAAAUCUGGCGGUCUUUUGGCUGUCCGAGUUGUAAUCUAGAGAAGUGCUAUCCGCGCUGGACCGUGUACAAGUCUCCUGGAAUGGAGCAUCAUAGAGGGUGAGAAUCCCGUCUUUGACAUGGACUGCCAGGGCUUUGUGAUGUGCUCUCAAAGAGUCGAGUUGUUUGGGAAUGCAGCUCAAAAUGGGUGGUAAAUUCCAUCUAAAGCUAAAUAUUGGCGAGAGACCGAUAGCGAACAAGUACCGUGAGGGAAAGAUGAAAAGAACUUUGGAAAGAGAGUUAAACAGUACGUGAAAUUGCUGAAAGGGAAACGCUUGAAGUCAGUCGCGUCAUCCAGGGAUCAACCUUGCUUUUGCUUGGUGCACUUUCUGGUUUGAUGGGUCAGCAUCAAUUUUGACCAUUGGAAAAAGGCCAAGGGAAUGUGGCAUCUUUGGAUGUGUUAUAGCCCUUGGUCACAUACAAUGGUUGGGAUUGAGGAACUCAGCAUGCCGCAAGGCCGGGUUUUAACCACGUUCAUGCUUAGGAUGCUGGCAAUAUGGCUUUAAUCGACCCGUCUUGAAACACGG
rnacentral:rRNA from 1 species